rnacentral:rRNA from 1 species
CAUACUAACUAUUCGCCAGAAUACUACAAGCAAAACGCUUGAAACUCAAAGGACUUGGUGGUGUCCCAUAUCACCCUAGAGGAGCCUGUCCUAUAAUCGAUACUCCACGUUAAACCUUACCAUCUUUGGUCACUCCAGCCUAUAUACCGCCGUCGCAAGCCUACCCUAUGAAGGCCAUACAGUAGGCAAAACUGCUCACACAAAAACGUCAGGUCAAGGUGUAGCUUAUAAGACGGAAGAGAUGGGCUACAUUUUCUAACUUAGAAAAUACGAACAAUACAAUGAAAUCUUGUAUCAGAAGGAGGAUUUAGCAGUAAAAUAUAAAAGAAAAAUAAUUUUAAACAAGCCCUGGGACGCGCACACACCGCCCGUCACCCUCAUCAAUGACAUAUACAACUAACAUAUACCUUAAAUUUCCCCACAGAUGAGGCAAGUCGUAACAUGGUAAGCGUACUGGAAAGUGCGCUUGGAUUAACAAAAAGUAGCUUAAAACAAAGCAUUCAGCUUACAAUUGAAAAAUGUUAUUUACCAAACCUUUUUGAGCCUUAACCCUAAGCCCACUACAACCUCCCACUCAAUUAAACAACAAAAACAAACCAUUUGACCAGAAUAGUAUCUGAGAGAGAAC